ACCUUGCCCUGGCUGUCUGCACAGGGCUGAAUUUCACCCCUUCCGAGUGUAUUCUAAGGGCCCCCCAUGCAUCAUAUGGGCAUUCUUGGGGUUGCAGAUGGCAUCAGACCUACACCUGAAUAAAUAAUAGAGACUGAAAUAUGCAGACACUAAAGUUCUGCAGCCAAAUUCUCAGGAACCUUUCUCUUCCAUGUAGGAUCAGGAUUUUGUUUUGAAUUGUUUUAUUUUUUAAAAAAGUGCUAAGCAGAUGCUACCCUGUAAGAAGAGGAAACAGAAGCAAAAACUGAAAGACUGUUACUAAAACUAAUGAAGAGCUGCAGAGAGUGGAGACCCAGCAAAGCAGACAAAUGAAUACUGUGAGUAAAUAACCUGAAAGCAAAUGGGGAAGAAAACCUCCUCUGGGUAAUUGUGGCUCUUGGGACCAAAAUCAGGUUCCUGGGAAAGGAUCCCCAAAGGAGGUGUAAGGAUCCGGGACUCUAGUGUCUGCCAGAAGCUUCAGCCACCUUCACAGGUUAGAGCUCGCCCUCCAUUGCGGAGGUGAAGACCGGAUGGGAGCUGCUGGAU